AGGGUGUCCCCCCCGUGUGGGGGGACAAGCACCCUCACCGCUGCCUUUUCCAAGUGCUUUCCCUCGCCAAACGCAUUUCAUGGACGUUUUCCUUCCAUUCCUCGUCACUUCCAAAGCCUUUGCACGCACAGAGCGGCUGCAAAGGGACCGGGAAAUAAACGAGAUGAAAGCACGUCGAGUUAAAGAGCCUCGAAAAGAUUUCGCAACGGGAAGGAGGAAGAAGCUGCGAAUCUCUGAAGUGCCGGUCCAGGGAAUAAAGGCACCGUCAUUCCUCCGGGAAGUUUUGGGGAGCCCUUCCCAACGAGAGGGGCACAGUUCCAGCUCUGGUGUUGGGCUGAUGGUGUCCUCAGGACUACAGAUGUCAUCUGUAAAACCACCGUGAAAGCCACCCCAAAGAGAUGUGUUCCUGUCUGUCUGUCUGUCUGUUAUAGGUGGUCAAACUAUUUUAAUGAAAGCUGAUCAACAGUGUUUGAAUUGGAGAGAAGAAAGGAAGGAAAUGAUAUGUGGAUAGAGAGAGUCAAUCAUCUGAAAGAUCAGUUCCAACAGAUUCAUGGAAAUUAACCUCUUUUAUCAUUAUCAGGCACUAGUGAUGCUCCUGCAGGCCCUUGGCUACACAAACAAGGACUGGGCAAACCAGGAAAAUUCAGGGGGGUGCACAUUAUUUUAGCACCCAAACUGAGUUCCAGGAGAAAAGCCAGUAUGGUCAAAUAAUGAUUUGUGUUUGUUUGCAUUUUUUGUUCAUAAUUAGUCCAUAGUGCUGUGAGUUGGCUGUACCAACAGUGCAUUUCCUGAGGGACAACUAGUCCCCAUCCUUCCAACACUGCCAUUACAGGAAAGAUGGUUCUGGCAAAAGUUAACAAUACUUGACAUAGACAUUACAGAAUAGAUUUUUAAGUCAUUGGUGUUUUAUUUGUCUCAGUGAGCAGAUCUGCUACACAGAGGUGCUUUUCUGAGGUACUUCUCAUACACCAAGAAGUGAUUCAGUUUCUCUUUAGGGUCUUCAAUGGCCUGGUGAGUUGGGAGAUUAGGGUUUUGUGUCUCGUAUUGUUUUCAUUAUAUUCCCACUGUUCAUUUUUUUAAUGCUCUCUUCAAGACCUGAUAAGGAACUACAAAGUUAAUUUUAAAGCAUUUAUUCUAGUGGUUGAUGAUAAUGUAGCUUCACAGACCAGUCAGACCUACUAGUCUAAACUUUCUCCUGUCACAGGCCAGGGAGUUUCACUCAGUAUGUGCCAUACGCAGAUCCUACUUUUUGGUGAAAGUAGGUAUUUUUAGUCUGGGAUAGAAAAAAAAAAUCUAUUAUUUACUUAAUGACUUCAAACAAGAAGCA